GGUUCAGUGGUGUAGUGGUUAUCACGUUCGUCUCACAUUUCUGAAUGUGCACGAGAGGUCCCCGGUUCGAAACCGGGCUGAACCA